ACUGCAUACACCAAGGAAGCAGGAAGCGCUUGCAAGUGGUGGGAGCCACAGAGAUUGAAGAAAAGAGGGAAAGAGGCGGCAGCAGACAUGGAGAGAAGAGCGGUUAGAGCACCUGUCGCUCAGUUCCAAAUUGAUCACCGUGAGGAUCAAUGAAACAUGAAUGGAUGGAUGAGGACAGUACAGAAUAGAUCUGACAUCCAUGGAGCGCAUUGACUCCUUCAAAGGAAUAGAUGGAUUCAUGAAGAAAGAAGAUGGUUGGUUGGGUACAAUUUCGUAUGGUGACAGAUCUGAUGGAUUUUCUGUUUGGGCAAAGCCCUCAUCAGAAUCAGUGGAGGAAUCAUAAUCAACAUAAUCAUAAUCAAGGUUUGGAUUUUUCAUCAUCCCGCUGUGAUGUUUUCAACAACCUUUUUGUGGAUAAAAUCUCUCGCAUUCAAGCCAACUUGGACUCCACGGUUAUGGGGAUAUUUCCGAAGGUGCUGGAAAGUGAUGAAUGAUUUCCACAUCAAGGCUUUUAUGGCGUUGUGUGAUGACAACCCCCACGUGAUGUUAAUGCACAGUCCACGACCAGUGAAUUAGGUGCUGGAUGUCGUAGCAGGGGCUGAGAUUGAUCCUGCUGCUGCACCUGUUCAGGAACCUGCAAGGCUCUCCAUCGCAAAAAAAUCAGCAUAGUCAUCUGGCAGCGUAUGGUGGAAUCCGCAGGUAUGUUCUGGCUGUCUUGGUGCUUGAGAAUGUGUCGAUAUCGAGGCUUGUAGCGACGUAGAAGGCUCUGUCGGCAUCGAUGUUGAAAGCUGUGUCGGUAUCGAUGAUGAAGGCUGUGUCAAUAUUGGAGGUGGUCUCAAUGUUGUAGACUGUGUUAAUGUUGAGGCUUGCAUCAAUGUUGAGGGCUGUGUCAAUGUAGAGGGCAGUAUCAAUGCCGAAGGCUGUUUCAGCAUGGAUGGUUCCAUCAAUGUUGAAGAUUGUAGCAAGGGUAUCUGCUGGAUCCGCAAGGGUGAGCAAGAAGGAGUUUUCGGUGGGCGUCCAGGCUCUUCCUCGUCUAUCUCGACAUCGAGCCCAGUAUGCAGAAAACCGUGGAAGGUGGACCCUGACGAAGUACUUGAAGCCGAGUCUAUCAGGUCCCACAGCCAUUGUCUGAAGACUUCAUCAUGUCCAUCAACGCAGUUUUAGACUGCUGAUGUGCAGUUCCGCGGACAUCAUGUUGUGUCUUCGACGCCAUGGAGAUUGAUUCCGACGACACCUUCGACGUCGUAGAGCUCGUUGUCGGCCUCGACAGUGACUUCAUGUUCAACGUUGACAGGGAGGCUGGUGAAGUACUCGGGCGCGGUGUUGGCGGGUGAAGCGUCUCAUCAUAUAAUGCAGCCCGAAGGCACCGCGACCUAUUUUGUCUAGUUUGUUUGGAGAAGGAACAAACUUUACAUGUUGUAGUAGUGUUCUUCUCCUAGACACAUCAGACAUGCGUCGUGAUAAUCUGUUGAAGGCAGUUUUGCGUGGCAUUUAGUACACCUCUUAAAAGUCUUUUUAGUCUCCAUGGUUGUCAGGCAAACGAUCUUUCGACAGAAACAAUCCACUUAACAGAGUCAGUUAGUUUUCUGGUCCGAGGUCAAGCACCAGUAAGGAAAAAACGAUCUUUCUCCAGAGUUAGUCCGCAAUGCAAAUCCAGUCAGUUUGCCGAUCUGAGUUAAACCGUUAGAAAUAUCUAUUAAGUCAAGUCCAGUCCGUAAUCCAAGGCAAAGUCCGUUGUCCGAUCCAAGUUUGUCAGUGAAAGAAAAAAUAGUUCUGAGGAGCUACAGCUAUGAGGUUUGAACGCUAAGGCAGUCAAAGAGAAACUAGAAAAUGGAUGCCCCAACUGCCUUUUUUAACAACUUAGCACAGCAAGUGCAGGUGGGAAGGGGCGUCACGAGGAGCUAAUCAAUCAGCCCGCGAGGUCCCUGAGCAGGCGCAGAACCCAUUCCUUAUUACCACAACGGAUCACGAUCCAGAUAGUGUAGUUAUCCAACCAGAAGACUUAACAAAAAUAUGAAAUCUUCAAGAAUGUUAAAGAAAAUGUUUAGCAGCUCUGAAUGUUCUUAUUUGAUGGUAAACAUCCCAUACGUACUGAAGCUGAGUAAGGAUCUUCAGGAUACAUAUCUAGUAGUAGCUGUGGUGGGUUUAGAGAGGUAAUAUACUUUGUUACUAAAAUAUUUCUUCCUUCGUUGUUAAAAACUGAGGUAAUUAUUCUCCUUUUUGGAAACAAUGCCUUACAUGUUUUCUUAAAAAUGCAUGCUCUUUGCAAAACAAUUUCAUCUU